GGCUCAAGUGUAGUGGUGAAAGGAGCCAGACAUCUGAGGUUGAAUUCGGACUCUACCACUUCUGAACUGUGUGACGUAAGGUGCCAGUGGGGAGCCUCCAUCCAGCAGCGUGUUUAUACUCCCAGCCAAGGGUGCUGAGGACUGAACCUUGAACGGCAGGGCUCCUUAAUGAUGAGAAGCAUAUCACCUGUGAAUGGGUUUCAGUGGUAGACAAAACGAACAACAUUAAUUCCACUGGUCAUCUAUUGUAACGCACGUAGGGAAAACCGUGUCUGGCG